CCUACGGGUGGCAGCAGUGAGGAAUAUUGGUCAAUGGGCGCAAGCCUGAACCAGCCAAGUAGCGUGAAGGAUGAAUGCCCUACGCGUUGUAAACUUCUUUUAUAAAGGGAUAAAGUGAGGCACGUGUGCCUUUUUGUAUGUACUUUAUGAAUAAGCAUCGGCUAACUCCGUGCCAGCAGCCGCGGUAAUACGGAGGAUCCGAGCGUUAUCCGGAUUUAUUGGGUUUAAAGGGAGCGUAGAUGGGUUGUUAAGUCAGUUGUGAAAGUUUGCGGCUCAACCGUAAAAUUGCAAUUGAUACUGGCAGCCUUGAGAACAGUUGAGGUAGGCGGAAUUCGUGGUGUAGCGGUGAAAUGCUUAGAUAUCACGAAGAACUCCGAUUGCGAAGGCAGCUUACUAAACUGCCACUGACAUUGAUGCUCGAAAGUGUGGGUAUCAAACAGGAUUAGAUACCCUAGUAGUC
rnacentral:rRNA from 1 species